rnacentral:rRNA from 1 species
GAUGAACGCUAGCUACAGGCUUAACACAUGCAAGUCGAGGGGAACGAUAGAGAAAGCUUGCUUUUCUUAGGCGUCGACCGGCGCACGGGUGAGUAACGCGUAUCCAACCUGCCCACCACUUGGGGAUAACCUUGCGAAAGUAAGACUAAUACCCAAUGACGUCUCUAGAAGACAUCUGAAAGGGAUUAAAGAUUUAUCGGUGAUGGAUGGGGAUGCGUCUGAUUAGCUUGUUGGCGGGGUAACGGCCCACCAAGGCGACGAUCAGUAGGGGUUCGUGAGAGGAAGGUCCCCACAUUGGAACUGAGACACGGUCCAAACUCCUACGGGAGGCAGCAGUGAGGAAUAUUGGUCAAUGGGCGGAAGCCUGAACCAGCCAAGUAGCGUGCAGGAAGACGGCCCUAUGGGUUGUAAACUGCUUUCAGUCGGGAAUAAUUCGUCGGUCGUGACCGACGUUGCAGGUACCGUCAUAAGAAGGACCGGCUAAUUCCGUG